GAUGAAGAACGCAGCGAAAUGCGAUACUUGGUGUGAAUUGCAGAAUUCAGUGAAUCAUCGAGUCUUUGAACGCACAUUGCGCCCCCUGGUAUUCCGGGGGGCAUGCCUGUCCGAGCGUCAUUGCUGCCCUCAAGCACGGCUUGUGUGUUGGGCCUCCGUCCUCCUCCCGGGGGACGGGCCCGAAAGGCAGCGGCGGCACCGCGUCCGAUCCUCGAGCGUAUGGGGCUUCGUCACCCGCUCUUGUAGGCCCGGCCGGCGCUUGCCGACACAUCAAUCUUUUUUCCAGGUUGACCUCGGAUCAGGUAGGGAUACCCGCUGAACUUAAGCAUAUCAAUAAGCGGAGGA
rnacentral:misc_RNA from 1 species